GGGGCCGUAGAGGAGUUGUCUACACGUCUGACUGAUGAUCAGAUGGUCAUGGGUUUGAUUCCCAUUCCUUCCA
rnacentral:tRNA from 1 species